rnacentral:rRNA from 1 species
GUACCGUGAGGGAAAGGUGAAAAGAACCCCGGGAGGGGAGUGAAAUAGAACCUGAAACCGUGUGCCUACAACCGCUCAGAGCCCCUUAUGAGGGUGAUGAGGUGCUUUUUGUAGAACGAGCCAACGAGUUACGGUAUGUAGCAAGGUUAAGUACUUAAGGUACGGAGCCGAAGGGAAACCGAGUCUGAAUAGGGCGACUAGUUGCAUGCCGUAGACCCGAAACCGGGUGACCUAUCCAUGGCCAGGUUGAAGCGAGGGUAAAACCUCGUGGAGGACCGAACCACGUUGCUGUUGAAAAAGCAUGGGAUGAGCUGUGGAUAGCGGAGAAAUUCCAAUCGAACCCGGAGAUAGCUGGUUCUCUCCGAAAUAGCUUUAGGGCUAGCGUCGAGUAUGAGUAGUGGAGGUAGAGCACUGAAUGGGCUAGGGGGCAUAGCGCUUACCGAACCUUAUCAAACUCCGAAUGCCACAUACUUUGAGCUCGGCAGUCAGACUACGAAUGAUAAGAUCCGUGGUCAAAAGGGAAACAGCCCAGAUCGUCAGCUAAGGUCCCAAAGUGUAAGUUAAGUGGGAAAGGAUGUGAGAUUUCUAAGACAACUAGGAUGUUGGCUUAGAAGCAGCCAUUCAUUAAAAGAGUGCGUAAUAGCUCACUAGUCGAGAGAUCUUGCGCCGAAAAUGUAACGGGGCUAAACUUACCACCGAAGCUACGGGCUUGA